rnacentral:rRNA from 1 species
CAUGUCGGCAACUAGUUCACUGCAAUUCUCACACGGUCGCCCACUGAAGCUAAGCAGGGCUGUGCCUGGUCAUUCCCUGAUGAGAGACCACAUGGGAAAAGCUAGGCUGCUGACAGAA